AAGAUUAAUACCUGAUGGUAUCUUAAGCACACAUGUAAUUAAGAUUAAAGAUUUAUCGGUGUACGAUGGGGAUGCGUUCCAUUAGGUAGUAGGCGGGGUAACGGCCCACCUAGCCUACGAUGGAUAGGGGUUCUGAGAGGAAGGUCCCCCACAUUGGAACUGAGACACGGUCCAAACUCCUACGGGAGGCAGCAGUGAGGAAUAUUGGUCAAUGGACGAGAGUCUGAACCAGCCAAGUAGCGUGAAGGAUGAAGGUCCUACGGAUUGUAAACUUCUUUUAUAAGGGAAUAAACCCUCCCACGUGUGGGAGCUUGUAUGUACCUUAUGAAUAGGCAUCGGCUAACUCCGUGCCAGCAGCCGCGGUAAUACGGAGGAUGCGAGCGUUAUCCGGAUUUAUUGGGUUUAAAGGGAGCGCAGACGGGUCGUUAAGUCAGCUGUGAAAGUUUGGGGCUCAACCUUAAAAUUGCAGUUGAUACUGGCGUCCUUGAGUGCGGUUGAGGUGUGCGGAAUUCGUGGUGUAGCGGUGAAAUGCUUAGAUAUCACGAAGAACUCCGAUUGCGAAGGCAGCACACUAAGCCGUAACUGACGUUCAUGCUCGAAAGUGUGGGUAUCAAACAGGAUUAGAUACCCUGGUAGUCCACACGGUAAACGAUGGAUACUCGCUGUUGGCGAUAUACGGUCAGCGGCUUAGCGAAAGCGUUAAGUAUCCCACCUGGGGAGUAC
rnacentral:rRNA from 1 species